CGAGUACCGACGUAUACUGUAUACGUACAUGCGUAUACCGAUGGAGUAGUAGAGAUUGAAGGGCCUAAAAGCAAAACAGAUCGAACCGACCCGUACGUUCUCUCCUCUCCCCAGCGUAUACGGUCGCAUCUACCUCCGAUCCCCGAUGCGCCACCGCCGCUCGUCGUCCCUCGGAUCCCCGAUGUGCCACCGCCGCUCGUCGUCGUGCCGGCCAACGCCGACCACAUCCGCCACAACCACGCACUGAGUAAGCUGCGCCUUGGCCCCCUACACCGGAUCCUCACCCGCGCCCCGCCGUUCCGCCCCUGAUGCAAAUGCUGCGGCUAACCCUAGCUGUGGGCUCGGUCGCCGCCGCGGUUCCCGUGCCGCCGCGCCUCCUGGUGGUUCCCUACGUCGUGUCGAAGCCACGCCGCGCCCACGGAUCGGAGGAAGCCUCUCCCAAAGCUGGGAGCAGCGAUUUUGGGCCUGCGGGAGGGGAAUCAGAGGGAGCUCGCCAUGGUGGUUGGUCGUUUGGAGCAGGGGACUUAGUGUUGGCACAGGCCCAAUCCGGGGAUUUGCUACAUCUUUUGCAUAAGAGAGUUGGAUCAAGACCUAAACUAUCUGAAUUGGAGAUAGAAAAACAUAAGAUGACACUUGUGCUUGAACAAUAUCGGGUGGAAACUAAAGAACCAACAUGUGACGAUUAAGCGGCUUGAGGAGCAAAACUGCCAACUGGAACAAUAGGUUUGUUCCAAGGUCACUCGAUUUCCUGCUCUAUUUUUUAAUCGUUUUUGUUGCUUGCUCAAAUGGUGUCACUGUGUCACAAUUAAAAAUGCCAGCGGUUGAAACGAGAGUUCUUUGUAAUGUGAUCUCGAGCACACUACAUGGAGUUAUAGACUAGUUAUAUCUUAUAUUUGCUAUCUGCAUACUUGGUCGAGUAUCAUUGUGAUUGUUCACUAUCAUCACUUCAUCAUAUUAAUCCUCCUUUUUGAAAUCUGACUAUUCACUAUCACCACACUUUUAGUUACCAUGCUUCUGCAUGGCAGAUCCACGAUGCUACUGCAGUGCCCUAGAGAUUACUAUCACUAUCAUUCAUUCCUGCCAUGUAAUACCAAGCAAAUAGCCGUAACUGAAAUUGCUGGAUUGAAUAAAUUGAGUACUAUAAUGGCAGGAAUGGUUGGAUGAGGUUCAUUAGAUGCUCUACGUAGUCAAAUAGCUAGGUAGUGGAUUACUUCGUUUCUGCAGUUGGUGCUAGGUGAAAAGUGGAUUUUAUCAAGUUGUUUGUCUGCAAUUUGUUGUAGAGCUAAUAGUUUCUAGUGUGACAUGAGAUACCUAUGCAUACAUCUGUAUGUCAGGUUGUAGAGCUGUUAGAGCUUAGGGGACCUGCCUCUGAAUCUAUCUUAAUAUUUUCAUGGAAGUGAGGAAAUGUUCAACGUUAAGUGUGAAUGCUGUAAGAUCAGUCUGUCACCCUCCCCUUCCUGUUAUUUUCGCAUUUCGUUUCGUGCACAAUUGUUCUAGGAGAUCAGUCGAUUACGUAGUUGUAUCCUCAAUAUAUGAUCUUUGCACAAUCAAGAUAUAUAAAUGCACUCCUCCGCUGGAUCCAUGCCUCAGCGCCACCCUACAGCACUCAUUUCAAGAGCAUAGCUGGACAUAUUUAGCUUUUGGCCACUGCUGCAUUAUUCACUUGUGCGUUGAAUAAUGAGGAAAGAGAAUGGAGAGUUGGAGACGAAUGGUGUGGCCAAACAAAAUUUAUAACAAUAGGGCCUUGAGAUAUGUUACGACAAAGCUAAUCCGGUAUUUGCUUUGGUCCCGGAAGAUGUGAGAUUUCAUGAAGAACUAUUUGAGAAGGUGUCUUUGCUACAGCAGCUUGUACGUCCUGAAAACUUGGAUAUAAAACCAGAAUAUCAGAAUUAAGCGUCAUGGUUGCCAGUUGAAAUUGUCACACCCUGAUCACAUGCUAGUUUAAUCAACCAGACCAGCGGAAUAUAACUUUGACAUGGCUCUCCAAACUAAAGGGCACUUAUUGUUAGAUGGUGCAUCUCAUCUAUGCUCUUGCACUUGAUUCACAAUGCUCGGAGAUGAGAUUGGGAAGGGGGCGUACGGGCGCGUCUACAAGGGGCUCGACCUGGAGAACGGCGACUUCGUGGCCAUCAAGCAGGUCUCGCUCGAGAACAUCCCGCAGGAGGGUCUCAACAUCAUGGAACAUUACAAGUCCAGCACCUUUUGCAAAUUGGGGUAAUAUAGCUUUUCACAUUGCUGAAGAUAAAAGCAUCUUGAGUUUGUGCUACUUUUUGACUGCUCCGAGGAAGAGAUGGGAAGGCAUAGGACGUGAUCAGGGAAUAACUGACGAUAACAUUGAGGGCUAUCAGGAAAAGAUUCAGUCUAUGUAGAAUCGUGUUUGCUUGUAUUCAGUACUACGAAUUAAAGGGCAAGGUUCCGAAGUUAUAUCCAUUUUUAUAUAAACGGAUAUAACAUGCUUAUGCACAACAUUUUAUAUUUCACAGCCUCACAUGAGCUCGGCUGAUCGAUAAGAACAUGAGCGUUCAGCUUUUAGCAAGGGUGAUAUUGAAAUGUGUCUGAUUCUAAUUUGGACGAUGAUGAUGAAUUCACUGAGUCAAAAUCAUUUGACAUACCGUAUCCUUCUAAGAAAGGGAAUAAAACCUGGACAUGGAUCUAAUUAAGAGGCUCUUUCUAUUUUUCCAAGCUAAUUAAACAGCGAUAGAACAAGUGUGUCACGUGUGUGGAUAGGCUCAUGAAGAUUCCAGCAAUAAAAAUCUCUAUAACUGGUCGACUUAUGAAGGAUACCAGAGGCCAGCACACGCCAGAUGCAAAGGGCGAUGAGGACACCAGAGGCGAGCAACACGCCAAAUGCAGAAGACGAUUAGGACACCAAAGGCGAGGAACGCACCAGCUAGAGAGGGCAUAGCGAAUGGUCUCUUGACGAUUGAUAUCACAUUUCAUCUUCAUUUAGAAAAGAUGAAAUACUAGGCUAGAUUUAAAAUUUACGGCUAGGAAUACUGGACAAUCACAAUUUAUCAAUAU